rnacentral:rRNA from 1 species
GAUAAACGCUGGCGGCGUGCCUAAUACAUGCAAGUCGAGCGAACGGACGAGAAGCUUGCUUCUCUGAUGUUAGCGGCGGACGGGUGAGUAACACGUGGAUAACCUACCUAUAAGACUGGGAUAACUUCGGGAAACCGGAGCUAAUACCGGAUAAUAUUUUGAACCGCAUGGUUCAAAAGUGAAAGACGGUCUUGCUGUCACUUAUAGAUGGAUCCGCGCUGCAUUAGCUAGUUGGUAAGGUAACGGCUUACCAAGGCAACGAUGCAUAGCCGACCUGAGAGGGUGAUCGGCCACACUGGAACUGAGACACGGUCCAGACUCCUACGGGAGGCAGCAGUAGGGAAUCUUCCGCAAUGGGCGAAAGCCUGACGGAGCAACGCCGCGUGAGUGAUGAAGGUCUUCGGAUCGUAAAACUCUGUUAUUAGGGAAGAACAUAUGUGUAAGUAACUGUGCACAUCUUGACGGUACCUAAUCAGAAAGCCACGGCUAACUACGUGCCAGCAGCCGCGGUAAUACGUAGGUGGCAAGCGUUAUCCGGAAUUAUUGGGCGUAAAGCGCGCGUAGGCGGUUUUUUAAGUCUGAUGUGAAAGCCCACGGCUCAACCGUGGAGGGUCAUUGGAAACUGGAAAACUUGAGUGCAGAAGAGGAAAGUGGAAUUCCAUGUGUAGCGGUGAAAUGCGCAGAGAUAUGGAGGAACACCAGUGGCGAAGGCGACUUUCUGGUCUGUAACUGACGCUGAUGUGCGAAAGCGUGGGGAUCAAACAGGAUUAGAUACCCUGGUAGUCCACGCCGUAAACGAUGAGUGCUAAGUGUUAGGGGGUUUCCGCCCCUUAGUGCUGCAGCUAACGCAUUAAGCACUCCGCCUGGGGAGUACGACCGCAAGGUUGAAACUCAAAGGAAUUGACGGGGACCCGCACAAGCGGUGGAGCAUGUGGUUUAAUUCGAAGCAACGCGAAGAACCUUACCAAAUCUUGACAUCCUUUGACAACUCUAGAGAUAGAGCCUUCCCCUUCGGGGGACAAAGUGACAGGUGGUGCAUGGUUGUCGUCAGCUCGUGUCGUGAGAUGUUGGGUUAAGUCCCGCAACGAGCGCAACCCUUAAGCUUAGUUGCCAUCAUUAAGUUGGGCACUCUAAGUUGACUGCCGGUGACAAACCGGAGGAAGGUGGGGAUGACGUCAAAUCAUCAUGCCCCUUAUGAUUUGGGCUACACACGUGCUACAAUGGACAAUACAAAGGGCAGCGAAACCGCAAGGUCAAGCAAAUCCCAUAAAGUUGUUCUCAGUUCGGAUUGUAGUCUGCAACUCGACUACAUGAAGCUGGAAUCGCUAGUAAUCGUAGAUCAGCAUGCUACGGUGAAUACGUUCCCGGGUCU